rnacentral:rRNA from 1 species
UGAGGAAUAUUGGACAAUGGGUGAAAACCUGAUCCAGCCAUGCCGCGUGCAGGAAGACGGCCCUAUGGGUUGUAAACUGCUUUUGUAUGGGAGCAAUAAGCUCUACGCGUAGAGUGAUGAGAGUACCAUACGAAUAAGCAUCGGCUAACUCCGUGCCAGCAGCCGCGGUAAUACGGAGGAUGCAAGCGUUGUCCGGAAUUACUGGGCGUAAAGAGCACGUAGGCGGUAACCUAAGUCAGAUGUGAAAGACCAGGGCUUAACUCUGGGGUUGCAUACGAAACUGGGUAACUAGAGUGCAGGAGAGGAAAGUGGAAUUCCUAGUGUAGCGGUGAAAUGCGUAGAUAUUAGGAGGAACACCAGUGGCGAAGGCGACUUACUGGACGAUAACUGACGUUGAGGCUCGAAAGCGUGGGGAGCAAACA